ensembl:lncRNA
AUUCAUUCUUAAAACAGUUAAUGCACUAUGUAUGUGUGCCUUUACAUAUUCUCAAUGCUUAAGAGUUCAAAUAAUACUUUCACUUUGUUAUUGUCUUACCUGUAUCCGGGUCAGAACAGAGGUCAGAGAGUACUUUACAAGUAGCCUAACUGCAAGUUUCUCAACUAUGUACAAUGGCACUGCUGGUUAAGGUAUGCUAUGCGUAGAUCGCUAAUCGCGUGGCGUGUCCAACGCCUGCACCGUGCCUCUGGCUCCGGGUGAUCCCCUUGACCGAACGUCGCUCAAGACCUCCUGGCACCUCUGGAAUCGGGGACACGCUACUUCUACACAUGGAUUAACGUCCCUAUUGCCAGCUACGACUGCCGUGCAAGGUGCCAAUUUACUUUCAGAGGAGCCAUCAUCAAUCAGAGAGCACACCAAAAGCAUUCUGCCAUUCACUGCUGUAUCUUCCAGCAUAUCAUUCUCUAAACUGUCAGUUCACUGUAAUUCUGCUUACUUUCCUCCAAGCCAUUUAGUGCCUUUUUUUCAAAAUAAAUUCUUGCUUUAUAACUACUUUUUUUAUGAGCCAACCUUGGUACGGUGCUACACCAAGAUACGCCUUGGCUAAACUAUUGUAUUUUUCUGCUAUGUAUAAAUAACACUUAGUUUACACCUCG